rnacentral:rRNA from 1 species
CACGAGUGGCGAACGGGUGAGUAACACGUGAGCAACCUGCCCUUGACUCUGGAAUAACAGUUGGAAACAGCUGCUAAUACUGGAUAUGACCGUCUCCCUCCUGGGGGGUGGUGGAAAGCUCCGGCGGUCAGGGAAGGGCUCGCGGCCUAUCAGCUUGUUGGUGAGGUAAUGGCUCACCAAGGCUUCGACGGGUAGCCGGCCUGAGAGGGCGACCGGCCACACUGGGACUGAGAUACGGCCCAGACUCCUACGGGAGGCAGCAGUGGGGAAUAUUGCACAAUGGGCGAAAGCCUGAUGCAGCAACGCCGCGUGCGGGAUGACGGCCUUCGGGUUGUAAACCGCUUUCAGUAGGGACGAAGCUAACGUGACGGUACCUACAGAAGAAGGACCGGCUAACUACGUGCCAGCAGCCGCGGUGAUACGUAGGGUCCGAGCGUUGUCCGGAAUUAUUGGGCGUAAAGGGCUUGUAGGCGGUCCGUCGCGUCAGAAGUGAAAACUCAGGGCUUAACCCUGAGCCUGCUUUUGAUACGGGCGGACUAGAGGGAUGCAGGGGAGAACGGAAUUCCUGGUGGAGCGGUGGAAUGCGCAGAUAUCAGGAGGAACACCGGUGGCGAAGGCGGUUCUCUGGGCAUUACCUGACGCUGAGAAGCGAAAGCGUGGGGAGCAAACAGGCUUAGAUACCCUGGUAGUCCACGCCGUAAACGGUGGGCACUAGGUGUGGGGGACAUUCCACGUUCUCCGUGCCGAAGCUAACGCAUUAAGUGCCCC